AUAUGCUUAAACUCAGCGGGUAGUCCCGCCUGACCUGGGGUCGCGGUCGAAGCAUCGUCGCUAGACGACACUAAGGGGUCUUUGAAGAGAAACUCGCUUGCGGAUCACAACACACGGCUCGAUACGAGAUUAUACAACCACCACUAGUCGUGCAUCCACCGAAGGAGGACUCCUAUUUAGAUCAACCACACCAUGAGCACGGGAGACCAAUCUCCGCUCCCUACACCACAUGUCCAUAGAAUGAUGGUGAGGGGCGACGCGAUGCGUGACGCCCAGGCAGACGUGCCCUCGGCCGAAUGGCUUCGGGCGCAACUUGCGUUCAAAAACUCGAUGGUUCACGGGAUUCUGCAAUUCACACCAAGUAUCGCAUUUUGCUACGUUCUUCAUCGAUGCGUGAGCCGAGAUAUCCGUUGCCGAGAGUCGUUUAUGGUUUCAAAGAGGCCACGACCCGUGCGCAUACCGCGAACGGAGCAACACGGGUGCACCUUUCUUAUGUUUUGUUUUCCUUGGCACAUGCCGUGCCGGGGUUUGUUUUUGUGUCGGCAUAACAUCCACAAGGCCACAAAGUGACCCGGUGUGCGCACACCAACAAAGCAUCACGGCUCCCAGGCUCAUACCUAAUCACCCUGAUGCCGAUUGUCAUUACAUGUUCACGGGUCGUUCUGCUGUGCAGGCUUCGACAAUGAUCCUUCCGCAGGUUCACCUACGGAAACCUUGUUAC
rnacentral:misc_RNA from 1 species